AUGGUGGGCAGCAAGAUGGCGUCUGCCAGCAGGUUUGUUUAGGUAGUCAAGCCACAGACUCCGUUAAUAAGGUUCCCUGACAGAAGAGACAUCCUAAACCAAAUGUAUCAGAAGUUCUAAGAUCGGCGGGACUACCAUCUCAUACUUCUUCAAUUUCACAGCAUUCUGCUGGAAGUAAAUCGCCAGACUGGCUGAUGCAUCAGGGUCCACCAGACACCGCAGAGAUAAGACAAACUUUACCUCAAAAAUACAGAAGGAAACUUGUGUCUAAUGAAGAAAUUGAAUUUAUCCAAUGUGGAGGUCCAGAAUAAUCACUGACAAUGUGGCUGUUGUUUGUCAUCAGACAAAGAAGAGGCUUUCCAAAAAAGGACUUCCAAAAUGACAAAUGAGAAAUUGUAUAUUAAAUAACUUUAAUAAAUAUUCUGUAAAAAGGGGAAAAAAAGAUGAAUAGAAAAUUUAGAUAGAUACUUAUAUCUUCUAAUUUAUGUAUCUUGGUCAGCUUCUCUAUAAGCUUACCUGAUUGUUUAUAUACUUUAUACCUUAAUUAAAGUAUACAUUUUAAAAUGUUAGCCUAUUAAUUUACUCUUGAUUAUCAAGCAUAACAGUGUUGAACUACUGAAAGCACACAAUGUCUAGUGAACCAUCAAAGGCUUCCAGUAAUUUCACUUUUCAGUUUCCAUUUAAACAUAGAAUAUAUUUGGCAGAAUUGCAGCUUUCUGGAAGUAAUUUUCCUGAAAUCAAAUGAGGAUCUGUGAAAUAAUAACUCCAUUAUUUGUUCUUACUUCUCAAUGUUUUUGCGUUCACAAAGUUACUUAAGUAUAACUGGCUUAUUAACAAGCCUAUCCUACUCUAAAUGAUAAAAAUAUAUCCAUGGUAAAACAGGUGACUUUGUGGUAUUAGGACUAGGGAGUUAACACGAAAUAUUAUAUGUAACCUGUAUUCAGAAAAGAAAUGCCAGAGUAUAAAAUGGAAAAUGAGAUCAAAAUGAAUAUAGCAUAGGA